CUUACGUUUUGGGGUCAAGUUGUGUUUUGAAAAUUCACCAAUUUGGUCAAACAAGAAAAAGAGGAGAUUUUUUAGUCUCCGUCUUCCCUCCGGCUCAGAUCUACGGCUUUCUUCUCCAACCCUUUGUCUGAAUUUUCUUUCCGAACCGGUUCUGCUCUAUUUCUCGUCGAGAGAGAAAUGAAUCUGCCGGCGGUAGGAAAUGGCUAUGGAUCGAGUUUUCCGGCUGUCUCUGUCGGAGACAAGAGGAACAAGUAUCAGAGAAUGGACUCCGACGCGGAGGGAACUCAAUCGCAGAAUCAUCGCGACAGAGAGACCAGAAGCAACAGAACCAGAAAAUACGUUAUGGCCUGCGCCUUUUUUGCAUCUUUGAACAAUGUUCUUCUCGGAUACGAUGUUGGGGUAAUGAGCGGUGCGGUGUUGUUCAUACAGCAGGAUCUCAAAAUAACGGAAGUGCAGACGGAAAUCCUCAUCGGCAGCCUCAGCAUCAUCUCUCUCUUCGGCAGCUUAGCCGGCGGCAGAACCUCCGACUCCAUCGGCAGGAAAUGGACCAUGGCUUUGGCUGCUCUCGUCUUCCAGACCGGCGCGGCCGUCAUGGCUAUUGCUCCUUCCUUCGAGGUUCUGAUGAUCGGAAGAACUUUAGCCGGAAUUGGGAUCGGACUCGGCGUCGUGAUUGCUCCGGUCUACAUCGCUGAGAUAUCCCCCACCGUGGCCAGAGGCUUUCUCACUUCAUUCCCUGAGAUCUUUAUAAACUUAGGGAUCUUGCUAGGUUAUGUCUCCAACUACGCCUUCUCGGGGCUUGCCGUGCAUAUUAGCUGGAGGAUCAUGCUUGCAGUCGGGAUUCUUCCUUCGGUCUUCAUAGGAUUUGCGCUGUGCGUGAUCCCUGAAUCGCCUAGGUGGCUGGUGAUGAAAGGCCAAGUGGACAGAGCACGAGAGGUGCUCAUGAAGACUAACGAGCGAGAUGACGAAGUGGAAGAGCGGCUCGCAGAGAUACAACUGGCGGCUGCAAAGACACAAGGCAGCGAGGACAGACCCGUGUGGCGUGAGCUUCUAAGCCCAUCUCCUGCUGUACGGAAAAUGCUCAUCGUUGGUUUUGGGAUCCAGUGUUUCCAGCAGAUCACAGGAAUCGACGCUACCGUCUACUAUAGCCCAGAGAUCUUGAAAGAGGCUGGGAUACAAGAUGAGACCAAGCUGCUAGCUGCGACUGUCGCUGUUGGGGUCACCAAAACGGUGUUCAUACUCUUCGCCACCUUCAUGAUCGAUAGCAUCGGCCGUAAACCACUGCUUUAUGUGAGCACAGUCGGAAUGACUCUGUGUCUCUUUAGUCUCAGCUUCACUCUCACAUUUCUAGGCCAAGGAACGCUUGGCAUAACGUUGGCGCUUCUCUUUGUUUGUGGGAAUGUUGCCUUCUUCUCUAUUGGGAUGGGACCUGUUUGCUGGGUCUUGACGUCAGAGAUCUUCCCGUUACGGCUAAGAGCUCAGGCAUCAGCGCUUGGAGCUGUCGGGAAUAGGGUCUGCAGCGGUCUUGUGGCUAUGUCCUUCCUCUCUGUGUCACGUGCCAUCACUGUCGGAGGAACCUUCUUCGUCUUCUCCCUCGUGUCUGCGCUAUCGGUUAUUUUUGUGUACGUGCUAGUUCCAGAGACUAGUGGGAAGUCGCUGGAGCAAAUAGAGCUGAUGUUUCAGGUCGGGCUGGAAACGAAAGGCAGUGAAGUCGAGCUUGGGGAUGCUGAGCGUCUUGUGCGCAAGGAUCAAGGUUUUUGACUUUUGAGGGCAGAAUUGGACAUGUUAAAGAAGAAGAGGCAGAAGAAAAAAGAUUCUCUAUUGUGUUCUGUUCUUUUUUAGAGCCGAUGAAAGUAAGACAGAUCUUGCAAUAAUCGAGGCUGCAAGCCAUCAUGGAUUCUUAUUUAUGCCUUUUACAUCUCACAGACGGGAUUUUAGUUGGUACGUAUUUCAACAAAACCUCGCACCUAGUCACAUUUUGAUGGAAAUUAUCGUUCAGUUUCAUUGAAAAUCACUAUUUAUCGCAUUUGCAACGGCUAGUGUUUUCGAUAUUUGAUAUGAGAUAUCUUUUGGCCAUAUGGAAAACAACACGAAACAGCAUUGUGAGGGCUGGGAGACGCUGAGGCCUGAGCUCUCCUUUCCGUACAGCCACUUCUGUACGUAUUUUAUUUAUUCUGCAAGUAAAAGCUCCAGAUUCUCACAGAGAUUUUGAUGAUUCUCUCAUUGUAAGCUCCACAACUACAUGCGCCAGAUCGUCCUCGAUAAGACGAAAACAGAGCAGAGAUAGAAAUAUUAAAAAUAUUAU